ensembl:lincRNA
GAUGCAUUGACCUUUGAUGAUAUGCAUGUACACUUCACUCGGGAGGAGUGGUCCUUGCUGGAUCCAUCUCAGAAGAGACUUUACAAAGAUGUCAUGCUGGAGAACUACAGGAAUCUCACCGCUAUAGGCUACAAUUGGAAAGACCAUAACAUUGAAGAACAUUGUCAAAAUGAUAGAAGAUAUGGAAGGCAUGAAAGAACUCCUGCUGGAGAGAAACCCUAUGAAUAUGCACAAUGGGAUAAAUCCUUCAAAUGUCUCAGUCAUCUUCAAAAGCUUGAAAGAAACCAAACUAGAGACAGACACUCUGAAGUCUUUCAACAUAGUAAAGUGCUUGCGUGUCAAAGCACUCUCCAAAUAAAUAAAAGAACAGACACUGCACAGAAACCCUACAAAUCAAUGUGGUAAAGCCUUUUUACUUGCCAGCUAUCUUAGAAUUCAUGAAAGAACACAUACUGGAGAGAAACCUUACCAGUGUAAUCAAUGUGAUAAAGCCUUUACACAAAGGAGUCACCUUCAAAGCCAUAAAGUAGUACAUACUGGAGUGAGAUCCUACAUAUGUAAUCAGUGUAAUAAAGCCUAUCCACACCAGAGUUAUCUCCGAAAACAUGAAAGAACACAUACUGGAGAGAAACCUUAUUUAUGUAAUCUGUGUGAUAAAGCUUAUUCACAACUGAAUCUUCUCCGAAUACAUGAAAGAACACAUACUGGAGAGAAACCUUAU